CAGUCGUACCGACGAGAGAUCAACCUUUCGAGUGCGAACCUGUGGACGUGCGUGAGUCUUUAACGGGCCUCGCUGUCUGCAAUGUUUGUGCUUUUGGGGUGUACUUUUUCGUAUCGGUAGGCCAACGUCAGUUUCGAUCACCGUAAAUGAUCGGAGGAAUGUAGCUUCGAUCUCGUAUUGAAGUGUUAGUA
rnacentral:rRNA from 1 species